GGAAGUGAAGUCAAGUCCGCCAUUUCAUCUUCUUCUUUAUAUCGGAAGUGAAAGGAAUCAUGCAAGGAUGCAAGCUGAAGGAAAGGACAACUCUCACAUCAGUGCAUUACUAAUUGUUUGACUUCAUCAUCAAGCACACCAGACGGUGCGGUGGUACAGUGGAUAGCUCUGUUGCCUCCCAGCAAAAAUGUUUCUGGUUCGAGCCUCGGCUGGGUCAGUUGGCAUUUCUGUGUGAAGUUUGUAUGUUCUCCACGUGUUGGCGUGGGUCUCCUCCGGGUGCUCCGGUUUCCCCCACAAGACAUGCGGUACAGCUCAGAUUGUGAUGGACCGGGAAUGUGACACCAGUUACUCUUAAGUCAAGAACCAAAUGAAGCACCAGAGUACAGAUUAUGGAGGUAUCUGAAGUUGAACUAACUGGAAGCAGGGAACCAUACUAAUAAAGUUCCUUAAGCAGGUUCCUUGUAAAGAUUAACCCAGGGAAGGAUCGAAAGUGGAGAAGACCAGAUCAAGAAAGACCACAUCAAGAUCUGCGGUCAGUUCAAAGGAUGUUUUGCAUUGGACUGUUUUUUUUUUUUUGGCUUUGACCCUUGCUCGACCCUGACCUCACUCUUGGGACUGCCCUGUUGGAUUUUUAGUUUAUUUAAUUUAAUUUAUUUAUUUUUUUGGUUCUGGGUAAAUGCUAAUAAAUAUUUAGUUGUAAUUAUUUAAGUAAUAUGUUUUUGUUAAAUAUGCGAUUUCUGUGUUUGUUCUGUCUACUCAUACUUGUUUAUCUUGUUUCUGUAAUUAUCAUUUGUUUAUUUGAUCUUGUUUUUGGAUUGCCCUUUAUAUAUAUUUUUAAUUAUUGGUUCUGGCUAUAUGAUUAUAAAA
ensembl:processed_transcript